UCAACAUAUUACUAUAAAAGCCAAUCAUACAAUCUUGGUUAACUAUUACAAGCAUAACAUAUUUUUUAUACUAUCAUUCUGUCUCAAAAAAGUGAGCAUUUUUCUCAAUAAUUACAAGUUGAACAAGAAGAAAAUGGUACUCAUAAUAAGAGCAAGAGAAUAAAAAAUCUCUACUCUGUUGACCUUGCAAGAAAAAAUCAGUGUUUGUGACCUUAUGAAGGAGAGCAUGGAUUCACGCAAAUCUGAUGACCCACUCUUACAUACGCCUCUGAUUAGAGGUUAAAGAUCAAAGCUUUAUGUGUGUAUGACUCUGAGGCCCAAGUUGAUCUCUCAUUUCAAUGCUAGUUCUAUUGGUGGUCAUUCUGACAUUUUUGCUACUUUCCACAUGUUGAAACAUGAGUUCUAUUAGAAGAGAAUGAAACAAGAUGUGUAUUUCUUCAUUAGAGAGUGUGAUAGCUGUGAGAGGUGCAAUAGUGAAAUUGUGACAUUGUAAUAAUUCAGAUAAUUAUUUUUGAAAAUUUAUAUAAAAUCAUCGUUUUAUCCCUGUA